CCCGGACAAAGCAGAAGUCUGUCUCCUCUUGAAAAUUUCCAAUCAAAAGCAAACAGAAGUGUUUCGUAUCCCAGAAAGUACGUCAAAGGGACUGCAGGUGGGCAAACGUGGAGAAGCCUAAAGAGCAAGGAGGAGACACAAGUGACACCAACUGAAGAGAGAAGAAAGAAAAAGAUAUUAAAUCCUCACUACACUUUUGUGGGCCUGCCUUCCUUUUCACAAAAAAGUCCUUUCUUCACAGUGAGAUGUUUAAAGAACUCUUUCAAAAAUUCCAGAUGGUCCUAAGGCGAGAUUCUUCCAUCCAUUUAGAGACAUAGAAGGCUUCCUGAUGCUCCAGAAUGAAAUCCAUCAUGCUCCAAAGGAAUUCCACACAUGGUCUCAUAGCUCCUUAACUGGGAACUGAAGAAACAUUACUGUGUCACUAGAUGGGCCAUCAUGAAAAUGGUAUCUUCCAUCCCUUUCUACCCAAGCAAACAACCUCCUUUCAAGAUGAAUUCUCCAGAAAGCAGAUAACUGAAUUACCUGAGUGCUGAUCCACUUCAAAGGGUCUCUUUAUAGGAGGCAUAAUCAGAUUCUGAUGCUUUGAUCAAGUGAAUCUAUGAACCUGCUUACCCGAUCACAAACUCCUCUAUUUGCCAUGAAGAGAUAAGUCAUCAAUUACAGAACUCACACCUGCUCUGAGUAACAUUAUUGAUGGCUUGAGAGAAGGAAUGCAUAAUUUAAAUGCCUUGGGAAAGCUGGCAGCGGCUUGAGGAUAAAGGAAUUCAAAUGAGACAGAGGGUGGCCAGCCUAGAGUGGUCAGUCACAAGCCAACUUUAUCCAUUGCAAGCAGAAAAAGAGCUGGCCAGACAGAUGUGAAGGCAGCACAAUCUCCUCCCAUUUUGGCCUUGAAUCAUAAGCAUUCACAGAAGACAGAAAAAUAAGUUUUGUCUGAAGCCUGGCCCAAGUUUUGCUGAAUCACUUAGAUUCCUGCAGGUUACUUUUUUGAGCAUCUUACAGCAUCUUCGGAUCAGCCAACAAAGAAAUUUCUUUUGGACACAGCAUGUGGUCAAAUGAAGAUUCUGUUCAAAGUGACAUGAAAUCAGAAAUAUUGGCUAUAUAACAGUAACCCAGAUAUUGAGUGGAAUGAAGAACAAACCUUCUGAGAACACCCAUGGAGAAGUUGCUCAUCUUUGUGGAUUCCUCUUUUUCUGACAUUAUUGGCAUUUUAGAAUCCUUGCUACUACCAGGGCCUUUUGAUCCCUUCACUGUGGUGCCACAAGAUUUGCCCUCUGUAUGUUGUGAGAACUUAAAAAGGAUUGUUUAAGGAGGGCAGCUUCUGUGUAAUUGUACAUCAGCCAUAUUUAGAAUGAUUAUGGCUUUUGUGACAUUGGAAUAAUGUGUUAUUAGCAGUAUUUUAAGGUUUCUAGGCUGGGAAAAUUGCAGUUCCUCCCUGGAUGGCAACAACAGCUGAAGCUGUAGUGAAGAUGAGGAAAAAGGUGGAUUUCACUACCACAUAACUAUUUAUUACGGGAUUCAUGCACUGGUUAAACGCUCACUCCCUCUGUGCUACAUCUUUUGUCACUGUACCAAUACAGACUCCAAGCCUGUCCUCUUCUCAGGACUCAGCAACAGGAACAUUUUACAAGGGGCAACACAAAUGCCAGCCAGGAAAUAAUAAUAAUCCCAUCAAUACAAUAAAUCCAAUUAAUUUACUAAGUACUAUGUAUUGAUUAUCAUCAGACCUAAAAUCCACAAUUCUUUUUGACACUUGCUACAUGUGUUACCCUGGUAACAUACAACUAUAUGUGUUCUAAAUGUUAUCUGGGCAAUUUCCAUGCACAGCAAUAAACAAGGUAAUUCAAAUUCUGCACAACUGUAAACUACUACAUACACAGACAAUUUUACUUCAUGUUCUCAAUAGUUGUUUUUUAAAAGAAGUUUUAAAUUUCUUUGUAGUACUAUAAAUAUUAUUCUUCUCUUUCCAGACUUAGGUAUUCUUUGGUAGUUAUUUGCCCUAAUAGUAGAAUAGGAAGGAAUCAGAAGUCAAAAAACAUCAGUAUCAAGUUUGUCCCUAUUCUCUUGAGUGUCAUUUAAAGAGGAACAUUUGAUCAGUACCAAACUUCUAAAGGGAAUACCAUUUCAAUGUUAAGACUAAUGAGACUAGUUUAAUCUCAUCCCUAUAAACAAAUCAGCUUAGGCCUAAUGAAAUCUUAUUUUUGUAAAUUAAGGCACAAAGGAAACAGUUCACUGUAAACAGACUUGUAGUAUACAUUGUUUAGAGACUAUUGACUUUCAAAUUAGCCUGCUUUUCAAACAUUUCACGUCAAAAAUAUAGUCAAAAUGCAAAUGUAGCAUAAACGGCUCUAUAAUAAAUGCUCAUUCAACAUUUAUUCUUCCUCAAAUCAUCUUUUAAAGCUCUUUCAUGCUAAUGUCUAGAAGAUGUGACAUUAGAAAAAUUGCUUUGACAUGCUAAGGGGCUCCAAGAUUAACAAAAAGAGAAAGAACAAGAUAAAGCUUUCAAAAGACCUAUUUCAGAGGAAUUAUUACUUCCUUUGAAAGUCUUCCAAGGUUGCAGUGCAUUUAAGCUUGUUGGCAUACAUGUAAAUGAAGGAC
ensembl:lncRNA